rnacentral:rRNA from 1 species
UACGUAGGGGGCGAGCGUUGUCCGGAGUUACUGGGCGUAAAGCGCACGCAGGCGGUCUGUUAAGUUUGGAGUGACAGUUGGUGGCUCAACCACCAAAGUGCUUUGAAAACUGAUAGACUUGAGGGCUUCAGAGGGACACGGAAUUCCGGGUGGAGUGGUGAAAUGCGUAGAGAUCCGGGAGGAACACCAAAGGAGCGAAGGCAGUGUCCUGGGGAGUACCUGACGACUCCAGGGUGCGAAAGCCAGGGGAGCGAACGGG